rnacentral:rRNA from 1 species
GACGAACGCUGGCGGCGUGCUUAACACAUGCAAGUCGAACGGAAAGGCCCUGCUUUUGUGGGGUGCUCGAGUGGCGAACGGGUGAGUAACACGUGAGUAACCUGCCCUUUACUUUGGGAUAACUUCAGGAAACUGGGGCUAAUACCGGAUAGGAGCUCCUGCUGCAUGGUGGGGGUUGGAAAGUUUCGGCGGUUGGGGAUGGACUCGCGGCUUAUCCGCUUGUUGGUGGGGUAGUGGCUUACCAAGGCUUUGACGGGUAGCCGGCCUGAGAGGGUGACCGGCAACAGUGGGACUGAGAUACGGCCCAGACUCCUACGGGAGGCAGCAGUGGGGAAUAUUGCACAAUGGGCGGAAGCCUGAUGCAGCAACGCCGCGUGCGGGAUGACGGCCUUCGGGUUGUAAACCGCUUUCGCCUGUGACGAAGCGUGAGUGACGGUAAUGGGUAAAGAAGCACCGGCUAACUACGUG